ACAAGGCUCCACCCUGCUUAGAAAAGGCUACAGGCAAGGCUCCGCCCUGGCCAUUCCCGUGGUCCAAUAAUUUUUAGUCUUCUUCUGUUUUAAGACGAGAUUUAAGAUUCAAUUGAUCAGUAUAGUACCAUUCAUCAGUUUUCUCUCCAGAAACCAACACACUGCCUCCAACCAAAAACUUAGAUCUACCAAAAUUCAACCGUUAAAUUCUAAAAAUAAUUUAAGAAUCAGAAUCCCCAGAGCGAGAUCUUCAAGGAGCACCUAUCACUUUUACGAAUAGAGAGCCGAAAUCAAAAGUUCAUUCAUAUUCACAAAUUUGAGGUAUGUGGGGUUUGAACAAGAACAAUCCUUCCGUUUUUGUGCCCAAAAGUUAUGUUCAAAUUAUCUUGUUUGAAGAUUAUGAGUUUAUGAGUUAUUCAAGUUGUGGAUUUCAUGAUAUUUCUACUUAUUAUGCUUUGAUCUAAAAGUUUAUAUUGUGAUUUGCACGCUUCUUUACGAGUUAAUAUUGUUAAAUAAAUUUCAAGAAUGAUAUUGAGUAUGAAUUAUUAUUUUGAGUUGAUAUGAGACAAGUAUUGAAUUUUGAGACUAUAUUCUUGGAAGAUUGAACUAUUAUAUUUAUAUCAAGAUUUAAGUUGGAUUUUUGAUGAUGCUAUAAUUUCGAGUCUUCCUUUAACAAAUUGCUUACCGAGAUUUGAAUUGAGGUUUAUAUUGUGAGCUUUGAGUUGAAAUAGGAAUUCACAAUUUCAUAUGAUUUAAAUUAAGAGAAAUUUGAUUUGGUCUUCGUUACAGACCCUUAAGUUAUUUUGAAGUGGAUUUCCUAAGAGUUUUGAGUCUGAGUAUGGAAGUAAUAUUUAGCACCGAGCGGGAAGUGUGGGUUUAGCACGUCCUACUUCCCCAGAACUACGUGCCAUCGUAGGAUUGCGAUUUAUGGGCCUAAGGAUGAGUUUGUGAUCACUGAGUUGAGGUUAUACUCCCUGACAAUAGUAUAACUCUCCUCCCCAAUGUGGGCUUCUUCCUUAGGAGGAAAAAACGUGGAUUCCAUGUGGCUCACAUGGUUUAUGUCGGUUAGAAGAAACUCCCAAAACAGUCCCCUACUCUAAUUAAGCUAAAAGUGUAUAUGUUGAAAGUUUGAUUUUUGAGAUUUCCAAAGUUUCCCAAUUCCAAUUCCUAAGUUUAUAAGGUUUCAAGUCCUUUAAUUUUAAAGAAGUUCUAUUCUCCUUGAUAAAGAUGUAUGAGUUUUGAAAACAUUGUUUAUAAAUUUCUUUAAUUUAUGAGUUUUGAGAAUAAAUGGAGAAAUUCAGAUUUUUGAGUUAAGUAUAAUGAUUCACGAGAUUUACGAUACAUGUUCAUUAUUCAUGAUUUAUGUUGCCUAUAUUUCAGUGAUUCUGAGCGUCUUCAUCUACAUUUCUGUAGUGGUGAGUCCUCAUGGCUCGAGGACCUAAUCUCCUGAUGUUGAGUAUUACCAGCAGUUGUAUUUAUUUUCUUUCAUUUGAGUAUGAGUCCGUCGCCAUUGGCUCCUUAUUCUUGAGUUGUAAAAGCUCUGUCAGACUAGAUUAUCAGUUGUAUUAUCGUACUUUUUCUGUAUCUUGUAAUCUGGACAUUAUAUUUACAAUGUGGAUUGACGAGAUUUAAUUCUAAUUAUCUGAUUUAAAUUCCUAAAAUGAGUAUUGAAUGCAGUAGGCUCAAAGGGUUGACUUAGGAUUACUUGUAACCUUAAGCACCAUGUGACGUGUCGAAAUGAAAUUUCGGGACGUUACAAAUUAUUCCGAUGAAAAGAUGCCUUUAAACUCAUAAUUUUAUACAAAUUUUAAUUAGGCACACGCUAAAUUCGACUUUUUAAAAUCUUUUUUUAAAAAAAUAAAAAAUUGGGCCCCUCAGCCCCAAUCCCUCCCCAAUUAUAAAAUAAGACAAUUUUUAUUGAAUAGUGUGGUUUGUUCUUGCUAGGGUUUGUUCAAAACGAUCCAUUUCAGGUUUAGUCAUUCUUGCUAGGGUUUGCUUGAAGACGAACGUGCGUUAUGGCUUUCCGUUUCGGAGGGUUCGUUUGUUUAUCCCUAAUUUCCUCUCAUAAUUUAUCCACCAUUUUUAUCGAAUUGAUUUCUCGUCUCAUGUUUUUUUCUUUAUGGUUUGAGUAGAAGACUUUGGGCUGCUGGUGCUCAUCGGGAAUUGCUUCGAGCUAUACAGACAGAUAUUAGGUUUAUAAAAAUCUGCCAAUUUUCCUUUCUAGCAGAAAUUUACCCCGUUCUUUUUUAGUUUUGAUUUUUGAUUUUAGUUUUUUCAGGGAAUAUUGCCAGCAAGUUCCAGCUCAUCGUGGUGAAUUUCUCGUCCAAAUUAUUUAAUUCUCGCUACAAAUUUCUGUUGUUACCGAUGAUUUUGGUCCUUGCAGUUAUAUUUUUUGCUGCCGGAGGAGCAUCAUCUUUUGCUUUCUGCCACGCUGUGUAUGUUCCUCAUUUAAACCAGAAAAUAUUGUUUCCUUUUUUUAAGCUUACUAAAUCAGUUCUCUUUGCUUUAAAAUGCCCUGUAUAAUGGUAGGAUAUAUUGUCUCUUUUCUUUUGAUUAAAAAGAAUCAAUCUUUUUAUCUUAGAAUAAUCCCUUUUAGUGUUUACUCAACUUGUUAUAUGAUUAAGUGGUAUUGGAGUCCCCGAGUUUAAUCUUGAUUUCUGCCUUGUAAUGAUCUCCUCUAUUUGCAGAAAUCUUUUAUUUCCUCUUAUGCUUAUUUCCGAAUUAAUUUUGGCAGGCUAGGCUCCAUGGUGAGGAAAGACAGGGAACGGUAAGUUGUACCACCUUGGUUGUUAUUUUCCUUCUUUUAUUGUUUUUUUGAGCGUGCAAACUGUCUCUUUUGCUUAACUUACCACACUUAUUGAUCCUAGUACAUGCUAAUUUAUUCUGCCGGUCAACAAGUAGUCCCUUUGUUCGCUUACUAUCUAUCGGUGGUAUCUCGUGGGUCCUUUAUUUAGCGGUCAACUGUAAAAUAUUAUUGCCACAAACCAGAAAAAAGUUUUGAGUACACCCAAAGACAAGAAUCAAUAAGACUAACACAAGAGCACCCAACUCCCUUAGCACCUUUUAGGAAGGGUGCAGUGAGAUUAGGUCUCAAGAAUAAGUACAAAUAUGCUCAAUUAAGUACUACAUUUUCUAGUUUGUUUAGACUCGCUAAACAUUGACACUCUUUCUCGAACAAUGAAUUGAAUCAGCUACAGUAUAAACUUUGUUGUACAGAGUGUGCUACCUGAAUAUUUUUUCAAUUCCUAGUUCGCCAGAUAAAGUAUAUCACUGCUCCAUAAAUUGCAAGCUACAGUAUCCUUUUUGAAUCUGCUCCGAUGUCUCGGUUUGAUCCACUGCAAGCUCUCCAUUGUCUCAGUUUGUGGUAGCAAAAAUCCCAACCAGGCAGUCACCUCUAUCCAAAUUGCAGAUGCUCAUUCAAAUGACACAAAUGGAUGACUGGAGUCUUCAAUAUAUUGCUGUACACAAACAACGCAGAAAGCAUUCGCACAAUGCACCUCCAUAUUCAUCAACCUACCCUUUGUUAGUAGCUUCUUGUGAGCUGAUAUCCAUAGUAUGAAUCUAUGUUUAGACUGUACUACCUUAGAGCAGAUAAGAUCCAGGCUCUAACAUGGUCAGAUAGCUCUUUGAGAUAGAGUACUAUCUCAGGGUCCAAAAUUAAUGGUGCUAGAUUAAGCUUGAGCUGAGCUGCCUGUGUUGGUAUCGGCAUUGCCUGAAUAACCUUCACCAGCAUCUUCUUGUCAAAGUUUUCUUUUUGGAAAAAAAUUCGUUCUUUUCUUUCCAGUAGAGGUCUUACCCAUCCUAUAGAUCUACCUCUCUGCUUGGCAUUUCCAAGUUGUCUUUUCUCACCUCUCUUAGAUUAUAGUCUUUAUAUACCAUUCUCAUGCUUCUCUCUUUUCCUGUUCAUCUCGUAUUUCUUUUCCACUUGUUACUGCCUUGACCUGAGGUUGUUGGCUUGGCUGGACACUUUGACAGGCCCCAACCUGCUUGUCUGAUUAUCUUUUUUCUACACUUUAAGGACGACACUUCUCAUUGUACCCUGCAUAAAGUGGAUGUUUGUUGAGUGCAUACAACAAAACAAAAGUCAACUAUGCUACAAUUUAGUUGAAACAACUAGCACGCCUCAGUCCCAAACAUAUGGGUUGGCUGUAGGAGCAUUCACUAACUUUUUUACUCCAAUUAAAUUGGAUGAUUUGCAUAAAUAUGAUCAUAUAGUGUCACUUUUUAAGUUUUGGCUCCAUUAAAAGAAGUUUAAUAGAAUUGAUCUCGCUAGAAAAGUCCAAAAAUCACAUUGGGUUGGCAGAUCCUCAUGAAUAGCCGUCAUAAAAUUCAUCAGAUUCACAGCUCAGCUCUGGAUGAUGGUUUUUUUUUUUUUUUUUUUUUUUUUUUUUUUAUUUAUUUAUUAAAGUUCAUUUUGCAUAACUUUUUAUAAUGGCACCUAAGCUUAACUAUCAUACGAAGGCUUCCUCGCGCCAAUUCCUGAAUUAAAUUCAUCUCCUUUCAACAUUACAUGAAAAAGGUGUUAUAAUUUCUCUACUGGCGGACGAAUCUAGGAGUUGUAUCUUUCAAUACGGAAGACAUGACUGUUGCUUUUAUGGAAUUCAGUAUUCGUGUGUAGGAGGACAGAGAUUUUUGAUAAGUUUUUGGUUUGAUAUCGACUUAUGUUUUGCAGCUUGUGAUUGAUGCAAUUGUUUUCGUUGUGCUUAAGAAAUGCACAUUUAAUUAUAUGUCAAUAUCUUAUGUAUCAGUUAAGAAGGUUAUUAUGCCUUGACAUCUAUAUUUCACUCUUAUUAUUGUCAUGCUAGUUUCAAGAAUCUAAUUCACUUUACUAUUUUCUUCGUCAGUGCUCGUGCUUUUUGCGAGGCGUGGAACAUUCCAACAAAUUGAGGAGCUGUUAAUUGUGUGGAGGUAUUUACGUGGAUGCAGACUUAAUUUUUAGGUCUCUAUUAAUAUAUAUAUAUACCUCCCACAUGUAUUUACGUGGAUGCUUAUAUUUUGGCUUGGCUCGACACUUUGACGGGCCCUAACCUGCUUGUCUAAUUAUCUUCCCCUAUACAUAUUAAGGAUUGUUUUCUUCUUCUUUUGUAUUUGGAAACAAGUACUUAUUGCACCCUCUGCUUAAAGUGAAUGUUAUUUAGUUCAAUACGACAAAACAAAAGCAAAGGGCGUCCUCAAGAUAUGUUUUGUUUUCAUAUAUAGCUAUACCAAUUACAAAUUCAUAUUUGCUC
rnacentral:lncRNA from 1 species